UUUGUCUUGUAUGAAUUAUCAUGUGUGUGUUCAGAAGUGCUCUUUAGUCCAAAUCUUUGACCACACUCAGAACAGAAAAAUGCUUUUUGCCCGCUAUGAAUUAUCAUGUGAGUGUCCAGGCUGCUCUUUCGCCCAAAUCUCUGACCACAUUCAGAACAGCCAAAUGGUUUAUGUCCUGUAUGAAUUAUCAUGUGACUGUCCAGACUGCCCUUUAGCCCAAAUCUUUGACUACAUUCAGAACAGCCAAAUGGUUUUUGACCUGUAUGAAUUAUCAUGUGAGUGUUCAGGUUGCUCUUUCGUCCAAAUCUUUUGCCACAUUCAGAACAG